CGCGUAGGCGGACAUUUAAGUCAGGGGUGAAAUCCCGGGGCUCAACCCCGGAACUGCCCUUGAUACUGGGUGUCUUGAGACCGGAAGAGGUAAGUGGAACUGCGAGUGUAGAGGUGAAAUUCGUAGAUAUUCGCAAGAACACCAGUGGCGAAGGCGGCUUACUGGUCCGGAUCUGACGCUGAGGCGCGAAAGCGUGGGGAGCAAACA
rnacentral:rRNA from 1 species